rnacentral:rRNA from 1 species
GACGAACGCUGGCGGCGUGCUUAACACAUGCAAGUCGAACGGAAAGGCCUCUUUCGGGGGGUACUCGAGUGGCGAACGGGUGAGUAACACGUGAGUAACCUGCCCUUGACUUUGGGAUACUUCCAGGAAACUGGGGCUAUUACCGGUAAGGACUCCCUGUUGCAGGGUGGGGGUUGGAAAGUUCCGGCGGUUGGGGAUGGACUCGCGGCUUAUCAGCUUGUUGGUGGGGUAGUGGCUUACCAAGGCUUUGACGGGUAGCCGGCCUGAGAGGGUGACCGGCCACAUUGGGACUGAGAUACGGCCCAGACUCCUACGGGAGGCAGCAGUGGGGAAUAUUGCACAAUGGGUGGAAGCCUGAUGCAGCAACGCCGUGUGCGGGAUGACGGCCUUCGGGUUGUAAACCGCUUUCGCUCAUGACGAAGCUUUGUGUGACGGUAGUGGGUAAAGAAGCACCGGCUAACUACGUG